UGGAUCCAGACUUUGAUUAUGGCUCAGGACGAACGCUGGCGGCGUGCCUAAUACAUGCAAGUCGAACGAAGCUUUCUUUCACCGAAUGCUUGCAUUCACUGAAAGAAGCUUAGUGGCGAACGGGUGAGUAACACGUAGGCAACCUGCCCAAAAGAGGGGGAUAACACUUGGAAACAGGUGCUAAUACCGCUUAACCAUGAACACCGCAUGAUGUUCAUGUAAAAGACGGCUUUUGCUGUCACUUUUGGAUGGGCCUGCGGCGUAUUAACUUGUUGGUGGGGUAACGGCCUACCAAGGUGAUGAUACGUAGCCGAACUGAGAGGUUGAUCGGCCACAUUGGGACUGAGACACGGCCCAAACUCCUACGGGAGGCAGCAGUAGGGAAUCUUCCACAAUGGACGAAAGUCUGAUGGAGCAACGCCGCGUGAAUGAAGAAGGCCUUCGGGUCGUAAAAUUCUGUUGUCAGAGAAGAACGUGCGUGGGAGUAACUGUUCACGUAUUGACGGUAUCUGACCAGAAAGCCACGGCUAACUACGUGCCAGCAGCCGCGGUAAUACGUAGGUGGCAAGCGUUGUCCGGAUUUAUUGGGCGUAAAGGGAACGCAGGCGGUCUUUUAAGUCUGAUGUGAAAGCCUUCGGCUUAACCGAAGUAGUGCAUUGGAAACUGGAAGACUUGAGUGCAGAAGAGGAGAGUGGAACUCCAUGUGCAGCGGUGAAAUGCGUAGAUAUAUGGAAGAACACCAGUGGCGAAAGCGGCUCUCUGGUCUGUAACUGACGCUGAGGUUCGAAAGCGUGGGUAGCAAACAGGAUUAGAUACCCUGGUAGUCCACGCCGUAAACGAUGAGUGCUAAGUGUUGGAGGGUUUCCGCCCUUCAGUGUUGCAGCUAACGCAUUAAGCACUCCGCCUGG
rnacentral:rRNA from 2 species